CUUCUUUAUCUCUCCUUUCUCUCCAAUCCUUUGCUUUGAAUUGCGAUUUCAGAUUUUGCCUUCAAAGGCUUGUGAAAAAGGCAGAAAAAUUUCAGAUUUUGCCUUCAAAGGCUUGCGAAGAAAGCAGAAAAAUUUCAGAUUUUGCCUUCAAAGGCUUGCAAAGAAAGCAGAGACAUUUCAGGUUUUUGUUCAAAUAAUCAUGAGCCCAUUCUAAAGAUUCCAGUGGUAACUGAGGGAGGAUCCUAACAGACAAUUUUAAUCAACCGGCCUCGCAAUUUCUAUGGUUACGAGAAUAGGUUGAGGAAAAUAAGGGUCAUAAUAAGGCAAGCGGAAAUGAUAGUGCCUCCAUCCAAAA